AGGCAGUUAUAUGACUGACGGAAGUGGAAUUGACCACAGGGAGUAUAAUGGAUAAGAGCCGACCGUCUGGGCAGAAGAG
rfam:Erysipelotrichaceae bacterium 3_1_53 genomic scaffold supercont1.6, whole genome shotgun sequence.